UUUUGUGCGCCGUGCCAAGAUUUUAAAGUAUUCGUCAGCAAUUUUCUCUCUUUUUUUUUUCUUCUGUUGGUUGAUUUUGUUUUGAGAAACACACUGAAAAUAUUUCUUCUCUUUCUGCCCCCCCUCCCAACCCUUUCUGCUCAUCUUCUCCAGGUUCAUUAACGCGAGGAGGAGAAUAGUGCAGCCCAUGAUCGACCAGUCAAACCGUGCAGUAAGUCAAGGAGCUCCCUAUAAUCCAGAUGGCCAGCCGAUGGGGGGCUUCGUCAUGGACGGCCAGCAGCACAUGGGAAUCAGACCACCUGGACCAAUGGGUGGAAUGGGCAUGAACAUGGGCAUGGAAGGUCAGUGGCACUACAUGUAGCCCCACCCCAGUGAGACCAAUCACAACACAAAGGGGGAUAACUGCAAGGCAAACCAGGGGGAUCAUGUGUCUCACAGAGGACCACGGAGCCUGAGAAUGGGACUCCCUGACUUCCUCAUGACAACAACAACCAACAGCAGCCCCUCUGUUCACCUCCGAGACCCGACAACGUUUCAUUCGGCCGACAUCUGCAACGGUGGAAACCAUCCGUGACCGCCUACAGUCCCUCGUCUGUGUAUCCAGCAAAGGUGACGCAUAGAUUAUCAAGCCUCACUCAAGCCAGAUG